UGAGUAACGCGUGAGUAACCUGCCCUGGAGUGGGGGACAACAGUUGGAAACGACUGCUAAUACCGCAUAAGCCCACGGCCCGGCAUCGGGCUGCGGGAAAAGGAUUUAUUCGCUCCAGGAUGGACUCGCGUCCAAUUAGCUAGUUGGUGAGGUAACGGCCCACCAAGGCGACGAUUGGUAGCCGGACUGAGAGGUUGAACGGCCACAUUGGGACUGAGACACGGCCCAGACUCCUACGGGAGGCAGCAGUGGGGGAUAUUGCACAAUGGGGGAAACCCUGAUGCAGCGACGCCGCGUGGAGGAAGAAGGUUUUCGGAUUGUAAACUCCUGUCGUUAGGGACGAUAAUGACGGUACCUAACAAGAAAGCACCGGCUAACUACGUGCCAGCAGCCGCGGUAAAACGUAGGGUGCAAGCGUUGUCCGGAAUUACUGGGUGUAAAGGGAGCGCAGGCGGACCGGCAAGUUGGAAGUGAAAACCAUGGGCUCAACCCAUGAAUUGCUUUCAAAACUGCUGGCCUUGAGUAGUGCAGAGGUAGGUGGAAUUCCCGGUGUAGCGGUGGAAUGCGUAGAUAUCGGGAGGAACACCAGUGGCGAAGGCGACCUACUGGGCACCAACUGACGCUGAGGCUCGAAAGCAUGGGUAGCAAACAGGAUUAGAUACCCUGGUAGUCCAUGCCGUAAACGAUGAUUACUAGGUGUUGGAGGAUUGACCCCUUCA
rnacentral:rRNA from 1 species